UUUAUGUGUUGAAAAAAUGAACCUUGGUGUUUCAAGUCAUAUUUCCGGCAAUUAAUAGUGAAAAUUAUGUUGUAGAAGGUUUUAUGAGCAGAUAUUCCAAAAUGCUAACUAGCAUGUGUGUGUGUGUGUGUGUGUGUGUUUGGGGGAAAUAUUCAUUAUCACCCCUUGAUAAGC